rnacentral:rRNA from 1 species
GGUCAAUGGCCUAACGGCUGAACCAGCAACUUGGGGGAAUGUAUUUCGAUUAUGUCGUAUAAAGUUCUAGAUAGAUUGAUGAUAAUGACAAUUUUCUAUCUAUAUGUCUUGACCAAAUCUUGUGCCAGCAGUCGCGGCAAGACAAGAGAGACUAGUGUUAUUCAUCUUUAUUAGGUUUAAAGGGUACCUAGACUGUAAAUUUAGCCCCUAAAGGGUACGUAUUUGCUAGAGUUAUUUGUGAGAGGAAUAUAGCAGAACUAUUGGUGUAAAGAUGAAAUUUUUUAAUACCAAUAUAACGGGUAACGGCGAAGGCAACCCUUUAUGUGAUAACUGACGUUGAGGGACGAAGGCUCAGGGAGCGAAGAGGAUUAGAUACCCCCGUAGUCUGGGCAGACAAUUAUGAGUGUCAUAGACUUAAGGCCAACUAGUAAAACUAAAUUGCUUUUUUUUUUGCUAGUCGGUGGGGUCUAUAAAUGAAAAUGUAAGCACUCCACCUCAAGAGUAAUGUGGCAACGCAGGAACUGAAAUCAUUAGACCGUUUCUGAAACCAGUAGUGAAGUAUGUUAUUUAAUUCGAUGAUCCUCGAAAAACCUUACCAUAAUUUGUAUGUCAAUCUUAUAUUGAUACAAGCGUUGCAUGGCUGUCUUCAGUUAAUGUCGUGAGAUUUGGUUAGUUCCAUUAAAUUAACGUAAACCCUUGCUUUAUUUAGAUUUAUAAAGCAGCUCGCCGCGACAAUUGGGUGUGA